rnacentral:rRNA from 1 species
CACGUAGGGCGCGAGCGUUGUCCGGAAUUAUUGGGCGUAAAGAGCUCGUAGGCGGCCUGUUGCGUCCGCUGUGAAAGCCCGGGGCUUAACCCCGGGUCGGCAGUGGAUACGGGCAGGCUAGAGGUAGGUAGGGGAGAAUGGAAUUCCCGGUGUAGCGGUGAAAUGCGCAGAUAUCGGGAGGAACGACCGGUGGCGAAGGCGGGUCUAGCUGGGCCGAUACUGGACACUGAGGAGCGAAAGACGUGGGGAGCGGAACAGGAUUAGGAAACC